GGGUUUUGUUUACAGAUGGUUCUGUAGUAGGCCUGCAAAGCUUAAUUUUAGGGUUCAAAUCCUUCAAAACCCU
rnacentral:tRNA from 1 species